UUAUAAAAAAAAUUCAAAAUAUAUUUUUUUAUAUUUGGUGGUGGUGGUGAUGGAACGAAGGUGAAAGUAGAGAUUGUUACAUAGUGGUGGGAUGAUGGCGGCAGUGAUGAUGGUAGUGGCUAUGGUGAUGGUAGUGUGAUAGUGAAGGUGAGAAUAGUGGUGAUGGUGUUGUGAAAUUAGUAAAAAUUUAAUU